GACGAACGCUGGCGGCGUGCCUAAUACAUGCAAGUAGAACGCACAGGAUGCACCGUAGUUUACUACACCGUAUUCUGUGAGUUGCGAACGGGUGAGUAACGCGUAGGUAACCUGCCUGGUAGCGGGGGAUAACUAUUGGAAACGAUAGCUAAUACCGCAUAAGAACAUUUACUGCAUGGUAGAUGUUUAAAAGGUGCAAAUGCAUCACUACCAGAUGGACCUGCGUUGUAUUAGCUAGUAGGUGAGGUAACGGCUCACCUAGGCGACGAUACAUAGCCGACCUGAGAGGGUGAUCGGCCACACUGGGACUGAGACACGGCCCAGACUCCUACGGGAGGCAGCAGUAGGGAAUCUUCGGCAAUGGGGGGAACCCUGACCGAGCAACGCCGCGUGAGUGAAGAAGGUUUUCGGAUCGUAAAGCUCUGUUGUUAAGGAAGAACGAGUGUGAGAAUGGAAAGUUCAUACUGUGACGGUACUUAACCAGAAAGGACGG
rnacentral:rRNA from 1 species